rnacentral:rRNA from 1 species
AUUGAACGCUGGCGGCAGGCCUAACACAUGCAAGUCGAACGAGGGGCGGACGGGUGAGAAAUGUGUGGGACUCCGCCAGAGGGAGGGGGAUCACCACGAGAAAGGGUAGCAUAUACCGUAAACCAUCAGAUGUGCCCAGAUGGGAUUAGCUUGUUGGUGGGGGAACGGCUCACCAAGGCGACGAUCCCUAGCUGGUCUGAGAGGAUGACCAGCCACACUGGAACUGAGACACGGUCCAGACUCCUACGGGAGGCAGCAGUGGGGAAUAUUGCACAAUGGGCGCAAGCCUGAUGCAGCCAUGCCGCGUGUAUGAAGAAGGCCUUCGGGUUGUAAAGUACUUUCAGCGGGGAGGCGUUACCCGCAGAAGAAGCACCGGCUAACUCCGUGCCAGCAGCCGCGGUAAUUC